rnacentral:lncRNA from 1 species
UUCCUGAAAAACACCAAUAACGAUGCGUUUAUGGUAAAGCAACACAUCAAGCAAAUUUCGUGUAGGCCUUGUAUCCAGCCUAACGCCCUAAGAAUCACCACCUAAAAUUCUCUACAAAAAAAUGGGUAACAACAUCUUGCAAGCCCAGUGCAGCCAUAGUUUUAAUUUUGUUCUAAGAAGAAGAUAUAAGAAAGGUCCAAGGUUCAACUACAACAUAGACAUAAAUUAUUUACAAAAUUAGAAGGUGGAUACAUAAAUGCUCCAAGCCUGAAGUAUCCAUCGGCAUUUGAGAAGUGGCAAGUUCUCAGACACGUGCCAUGCAUUUCUACACCAACUUCAUACACCAUACGAAUAAGCCCUGGCACCUUGAAAUAACAAUUUAAAAUGCCAAUGCUCUUGAACAUUUAGUGUCGAAGUGAAACACUGAACGAAGCGGUAAUGGAACCUAGUACGUGUGCUCACAAUGUCGAUCUUAUUUUUAAUUUAAUUUUAAUUUUUUUUUGGUGAAAUACGAAAACCGUAAUGUACGGACCUGACAUAUGUCGCAGCGGGGAGGCUCAAGCUGUCCAACAAGAGGCACGCGGACAUGCUUAUUGGCUAGCUUAUUAGCAGCAUGGACCCUAGUGUCGCAACUUGUGCACAGUGCAGCUUCGUCUGCACAACACAUCACCGCCG